CCUACGGGAGGCAGCAGUGGGGAAUAAUGGACAAUGGGCGAAAGCCUGAUCCAGCCAUGCCGCGUGUGUGAAGAAGGCCUUCGGGUUGUAAAGCACUUUCAGUGGGGAAGAAAGCCUUGGGGCUAAUACCCUCGAGGAAGGACAUCACCCACAGAAGAAGCACCGGCUAACUCCGUGCCAGCAGCCGCGGUAAUACGGAGGGUGCGAGCGUUAAUCGGAAUUACUGGGCGUAAAGCGCGCGUAGGCGGUCUGAUAAGCCGGUUGUGAAAGCCCCGGGCUCAACCUGGGAACGGCAUCCGGAACUGUCAGGCUAGAGUGCAGGAGAGGAAGGUAGAAUUCCCGGUGUAGCGGUGAAAUGCGUAGAGAUCGGGAGGAAUACCAGUGGCGAAGGCGGCCUUCUGGACUGACACUGACGCUGAGGUGCGAAAGCGUGGGUAGCAAACAGGAUUAGAUACCCUAGUAGUC
rnacentral:rRNA from 1 species